ensembl:snoRNA
AUACUUUUGUAGGUCAUAAGCUGAGGAUUGGGUUUUCAUGCUCAUGUGUGAGAUAUGCUUCUCUCAAACCUUCUGACCUGGGCACAUUACCCAGCUAAUG